CCCGGUCGCGGAUCGAAGCUGCUGUCAGCGGCGUCGUCAUCUAGUCGUCUGAACUCUGAAGCUUCUGGCGUCGGUGUCGUCUGGUCGCCCUGGUCGUCGGCAUCGUCGUUCUGGAACUCAGGCCUUCUUGCUCUCUGCCACGAGCCAACAAUGCAUAUGAUGUAUUAAGUUAUUGCUAGAGAAUUGAAUUAAAAUUCAGUUUCUAUUCAAAGUUUUGCUUCUGCUGCUUUUUAUUCUGUUAUUUUAAAUCCUUAUAUUUCAUGUAGGCCUAGAAAAGUUCAGGUACCCACAUUGAUGCUCAUUUGUGUCAACAGCAUCAAAAUGGUCCUUUAAUAAUCAAUUUUUUGUUCAUCAAGGACCAAUUUUAUGUUUUUGAGGUCUAAUUUUAUGGAGAAAUGUAAUAGAUUGAUAGUGAAGAGACAAUUAGAUGUCUCAUAUAUCUUUGGGACUAAUUUGACCAUUUUAGUAAUAUAUAUAAAUUGAUGAUCAAUUUGAUGUCAAAUGCAUAUUCGAAGGACCAAAUAAACUUUUGAUUAUUUGAA